UACGUAGGAGGCAAGCGUUGUCCGGAAUUACUGGGUGUAAAGCGCGUGUAGGCGGCAGGCCAAGUCUGUGGUGAAAUCGCUCGGCUCAACUGGGCGGGGUCCAUGGAAACUGGUCAGCUGGAGGACGGUAGAGAUGAGUGGAAUUCCCGGUGUAGUGGUGAAAUGCGUAGAUAUCGUAAGGAAGACCAGUGGCGAAGGCGAAUCUCUGGACAGUUACUGACACUGAGGCACGAAGGCCAGGGGAGCAAACGGG
rnacentral:rRNA from 1 species